rnacentral:lncRNA from 1 species
UGACCGUUCUGUUAGUUUUGUCAUCAAAAUGAAGGAUGCCAACAGAUUGCUGCGUCUCUCUUACUGUAAAGCAACUGCGACACCAAAAGCAGUUAUUUCACGCCAAUGGAAUGUGGGAGAAGAAAUUUGAGAUUCUGAAGGCGAGUUUCCAUGCCAUCAGAGAUUAGAUGUUCUUACGACAGACGUUGCAGCGGCAGGUAGCUUCACUGAAACAAAGCAUUUAUCAUGAGAUUUCGGGGCAUUGUUUGCAUGUAAAGAUGUAUAUUAAUACAUUUGUAUAUAGGUAAGGACAGUACGGGGAUCUGAAAGGAGCAUGUAGUAGAGAUACAUUUC